GUAAAGUCGAAUGAUCAACUAGCAGAUAUUUUCACUAAGUCUCUUACUGGUUCUCGUAUUAGUUACAUGUGUAACAAGCUCGGUACAUAUGAUGUGUAUGUACCAGAUUAAAGGGGAGUGUUAGUUUAUAGAUAUGUAUAGUGUAGUCCUAUCCCACAUUGGAAGAGGAGUAAUAUCUCCUUGUAGUGUAUAGCUAUAAAUAGGGACAUCUUGUAUUGUAUUUAUUAUCCAAUAUCAAUAACAUAACUUCUUCCGUGCCUUCUCACAGUAACCUUCUUGCUUCAAAUGUUGAUGAAGAGGUGCUGAAAAAUGCAUGCUAGGCACUUUAUUACCUUUCUGGUGGUGUAGAUAUGACCUCCAAUGGAUAUUGCUCUAGAUUAAAAUUCAUUCCUCAUCCUGGUGUGAGCCGUAGUGAUAUGAUUAAGGCCUUCUUUCAGGCUGAUGUUCUUCCGAUGCUACUUGAUCUCUUCAAUUGAUUGGAAUAUUUUUAUUUUCCUCAUUUAACCUACCUUUUCCUAUCUAACUUACGAUUGUAUAUGAUAUAUACGUCAAUUGAUGUUUUAGAGAACACUUACGUUCCGUAAUCCCCCCUGCCAUCCGUACAGUUAUACGUAUUAGCAAGCUGGGAGAUGAGCACCAGAGAGAGGUACGUGGGUAUAAGGAACUUUCGUGGUUGAACCAAAACACUUUGAUGAACUAACCAAUGAAAAAAGGAACAAACUAAAAUAAAUAAAGUGAUUGAAAGGUAGAAACAUCUUAAACAACAUGUAGUGAGAUUAUAAUUUAGCAUGUUCCUGAUUCAACGUCAAAUUUGAUUUGUUUACCGCCUAAUUUCUAAUAGCCUCCGAAGAACCCACCCAUUUGGUAAAGAUGUCCACCACAAUAUUUUUAAAAAGUCUUCUUACAGUAAGAUUGUUCGACUGAAGGUGUAAAAAUAGGUUAUUUGUCAUCUUCAAGUCAUGGGCAAGUCCACCUCCCAGCUCCAGUGCUGGCCAUCUAGGCUGCAUUCAUUUUUUUGCCUACAUUGUUUUUUAGUUUUUUAUAACUGAUAUUCACUAACUUGGCCUUUUUAGAUCUUGGGACAAAAUUUCUAUGUAUGUAAGCUGGUAAUAAGAAACUUUUUCUUGAUUAAAAGAAGAAAGAAAAGAAAGAAGAAAAACUUGGAGUUGUCUAGAUUUAGGUUGAAAAGCAUCUUCAACACUCAAAAAUUGUGCUUGUAAACUUCAAAAUGGGGCCUUACUUUCCUAGAUAUCUCUAGGCAUUGUCCAUUUUGAGCUCAAAAUGAUGAAAAACAUAUCCCACAAUUGAGCAGUAAUUUUUCAAUGUAGAAAUUGGUGGUUUGUGUCCUCCGGUUGCUCUUCGCAUAGAGAGCAUUUGCUCUCAAUGGGCAUUCCUCUUAUUUGCAAAUUAGACUGUGUGGGACAUGUAUUUUUUCCUACUAACCAAGUGUAGAUCUGAAUUUUGUAAGAUGUUGAUCGGAGCCCGGAGCAUUGCUAAACGUAACGUCCUUGAUUGCCUGUUGGACUUGCUAAAGAGUGGAAUAGAGGAGGAGAUGGUCUGCGCAUCUAUAGCAUACAUUACUAUUGGGAGCACGCAACGGGCAAAUGCUGUAUUUGAUGUUGGAUUAAUAGAACCUCUACGCACACUGGUACAACUAAAAAAAUGGGUAUUGCUGCUGCUGCACUUUCAAUUGCUAUUAACGGUACCAGUGACAUUGCGUACACCAAAGACUUGGUGGAUUGCUGCAUAGAUCCUCUAUGUGAUUAUCUUGGCUUCUCUGUGGUCAUGCAACUUGCGUCAUCAGUCUAAAAGGAGUAGAAAGCAUAUUGAAGUUUGGAAAGCGUAUUGAAGAGGAAUAUGGCGGCACUGGUGGUUAUACUAAGCGGAUCGAAGAGGCUAGGGGUUUGGAAAAGCUUGAAUACUGUCUAAUACUAAAAUUCGAUAUGAGGUUGUUCCAAUAUUGGGUACAUAUUGGUUUUCACUAGGACGUUAUGCUGAGAUGUUGUGUAUGAUUGAGGUUCAGAUCUCUGACGACGGAAAAUGUGAGGACCCAAUGUGGUAUUAGUGAUGUCUUAAAGGAUUAACCUGUUCAUGACCUAUUUUCCAUCUUUAUAUGACAGAGAUGGCGUAUAGUGGAAAGGGAUAACUUUUUGACAAAUUUCUCCAUUAUUAUAUUUAUACAUUUCUACUUCUGCCUUCUUAUAAAUGAAAACUAGUCACCUCAUGAUAAACAUGCUUACCAACUGCAAGGGUACCAUUGGAAUUUAAAUUUUUUGUUUUGUGCUCUAAGGAUUCGUAUUCUUGCAGCAUUCAUGUGUUUUGCUUUGGCUUGAAUGGACGAAAAACUCAAUUUAUUUGCA